rnacentral:tRNA from 1 species
GCAGUGGUGGUUCCGUGGUAGAAUUCUCGCCUUCCAUGUGGGAGACCUGGGUUUGAUUCCCGGCCAAUGAC